AGGCUCCUGCCCGUGAGAAGGAAAUGGUAUAUCUCCACAAAAAGCAUACAAUGGGAGGGGAGUAGCAGAGCCAGCCCCUGUUGAAUUGGACUUCUCCUUUUGGAAUUGCUGGUAAUAAAGUGUCCCAGGAAGCCCAUGUGUUGACAAAUGACUCCAAGCGCAUUCCCUAUUCUCAUGUUGCAGUUCUGUGGCCAUAAAGUCCCAGGGCAGUGGUUGCACAUGUUUUCCAUCAUUCGCGUCUAAUGGCGGUAAUUUAGAAUUCCCUAUGGUUGGAGAAGAUGGUCUGUGGCAUUCAGUGACCAGUACAGUUCUUCCAAAGAGCUUGAGACUCCGAGUAGAUGUUUCCCUCAUUAGAACAUCUUCAGAGAAGACAUUUUCUAUGGGAAAUAAGUUGAGUUUCUGGACCUUGGGGGAUUGCUCGUCAAGAGCUGCAGCAGUUAUUGUGGCUGGGGAUGGGGAGCCAUGAUCUGCAGGGGUCAAGUUGGG
rnacentral:misc_RNA from 1 species